rnacentral:rRNA from 1 species
AUGGGCGCAAGCCUGAUCCAGCCAUGCCGCGUGAGUGAUGAAGGCCUUAGGGUUGUAAAGCUCUUUUAUCCGGGACGAUAAUGACGGUACCGGAGGAAUAAGCCCCGGCUAACUUCGUGCCAGCAGCCGCGGUAAU